GAUGAACGCUGGCGGCGUGCCUAAUACAUGCAAGUCGAACGCUUCACUUCGGUGAAGAGUGGCGAACGGGUGAGUAAUACAUAAGUAACCUGGCAUCUACAGGGGGAUAACUGAUGGAAACGUCAGCUAAGACCGCAUAGGUGUAGAGAUCGCAUGAACUCUAUAUGAAAAGUGCUACGGGACUGGUAGAUGAUGGACUUAUGGCGCAUUAGCUGGUUGGUAGGGUAACGGCCUACCAAGGCGACGAUGCGUAGCCGACCUGAGAGGGUGACCGGCCACACUGGGACUGAGACACGGCCCAGACUCCUACGGGAGGCAGCAGUAGGGAAUUUUCGGCAAUGGGGGAAACCCUGACCGAGCAACGCCGCGUGAAGGAAGAAGUAAUUCGUUAUGUAAACUUCUGUCAUAGAGGAAGAACGGUGGAUAUAGGGAAUGAUAUCCAAGUGACGGUACUCUAUAAGAAAGCCACGGCUAACUACGUGCCAGCAGCCGCCGUAA
rnacentral:rRNA from 1 species